CCUACGGGGGGCAGCAGUGAGGAAUAUUGGUCAAUGGGCGAGAGCCUGAACCAGCCAAGUCGCGUGAGGGAGUACUGCCCUAUGGGUUGUAAACCUCUUUUGUCGGGGAGCAAAAGCCGGACGUGUCCGGCUGUGAGAGUACCCGAAGAAAAAGCAUCGGCUAACUCCGUGCCAGCAGCCGCGGUAAUACGGAGGAUGCGAGCGUUAUCCGGAUUUAUUGGGUUUAAAGGGUGCGCAGGCGGAUUUUUAAGUCAGCGGUAAAAUCGUGGGGCUCAACCCCAUCCAGCCGUUGAAACUGGGGAUCUAGAGUGUGCGAGAGGUAUGCGGAAUGCGUGGUGUAGCGGUGAAAUGCAUAGAGAUCACGCAGAACCCCGAUUGCGAAGGCAGCAUACCGGUGCACAACUGACGCUCAGGCACGAAAGCGUGGGUAUCGAACAGGAUUAGAUACCCUAGUAGUC
rnacentral:rRNA from 1 species